AGAGUUUGAUCAUGGCUCAGAUUGACGCUGGGCAUCCUUACACAUGCAAGUCGANNGCAGCGGGGGCACCUGGCGGCGAGUGGCGAACGGGUGAGUAAUAUAUCGGAACGUGCCCUGGAGUGGGGGAUAACGCAGCGAAAGUUGCGCUAAUACCGCAUACGAUCUAAGGAUGAAAGCGGGGGAUUCGCAAGAACCUCGUGCUCCUGGAGCGGCCGAUAUCUGAUUAGCUAGUUGGUGGGGUAAAGGCCUACCAAGGCAUCGAUCAGUAGCUGGUCUGAGAGGACGACCAGCCACACUGGAACUGAGACACGGUCCAGACUCCUACGGGAGGCAGCAGUGGGGAAUUUUGGACAAUGGGCGAAAGCCUGAUCCAGCAAUGCCGCGUGAGUGAAGAAGGCCUUCGGGUUGUAAAGCUCUUUUGUCAGGGAAGAAACGGUGUGGGCUAAUAUCCCGCACUAAUGACGGUACCUGAAGAAUAAGCACCGGCUAACUACGUGCCAGCAGCCGCGGUAAUACGUAGGGUGCAAGCGUUAAUCGGAAUUACUGGGCGUAAAGCGUGCGCAGGCGGUUUUGUAAGUUUGUCGUGAAAGCCCCGGGCUCAACCUGGGAAUUGCGAUGAAGACUGCAAGGCUUGAAUCUGGCAGAGGGGGGUAGAAUUCCACGUAGCAGUGAAAUGCGUAGAGAUGUGGAGGAACACCGAUGGCGAAGGCAGCCCCCUGGGUCAAGAUUGACGCUCAUGCACGAAAGCGUGGGGAGCAAACAGGAUUAGAUACCCUAGUAGUCC
rnacentral:rRNA from 1 species